GUCUGGUUUCAGGUGUGUGCUGCACCUGAAAAAAAUUCUCGGGUUGUCUCUCUUUCAGGUGUAUUUCUCGGGUUUCUAAUUUUCUGUUCUCAUGUAUAACUUUAUAUAGACAGGCAAUGGCCUUGCAUUAUAUAUAUACACUAAAGGCGUAUGAAGAAACUCCUUUUAGAGCAUACUUUGAUUGCUUAUUUUGGUCAAUGAGAAGAGGUGAAUGAUAUUGUACAUAAUUUUCAACCCAAAGGUAUAAUAAUGCAAUGCAUAAAAAGAUCUACUUCCUAUAUAUGGUGCAGUUUCAACUAUGUCAAAAAACGUGCAGGUACUCACCAUCUGUGUUGGCCUAUCAUACAAAAUUAAGGGUCAGGUUCGAUGUAUAUAGGGACUUCUACAACCAACGGAUAUUAUAUAUAGGGACUGCUACAACCCACGAGCAUUACAUUAUAGAUGGAGUUUUAAUAUCUUCUUUUUUCAUAUUUCAUACAAAUUAAAAUCUUUGUUGCACCUUUUAUUGAGAAAUCAGAUUCUGUAGUUGCUUAGAAAAAGCAUAAGCAUCACUUAUUCAUUUUUAGAUUCUAUGCUUGGUGAACGUAUACCAACUCCUUUUUUUAUCGUAUAUGCUUCUCGAUGCUAAAAAUUACAAGUUAUGUUUCUUUUUCGGAAACAGAUUUUGAAAAAAAAAUGUGAGUAACAAGAGUGUGUUACUGUCUGGAUGUAUUAAGAAAUUGUGGGCACUAAUCAAAAGUUUGUUACUGAAAUCAUGACGCCAUUUGCUUAAUCAUUGUGGAAAAUGGUUCUUCUGCAAUUAAAAAUAAUUGUCAGCAGCGACUAUGCAGGUAUGGACUUUGCAUGAGAAGCACAUAUGAGUAUGCCGACAUGGACCAUAUCAGGUCAUUGCCCCUAUUCUUUCCACAUCUUCUAUGUCAUGUUUCAAUUCAUUGUUUUCCAUAUUGCUCAUGUUUGUAGCCUUUCUGUUAGGCACUUAUCCAUUGACAACUUAUCAUGCUUCUAUUAAUUGAUGAUCUCUUCGCAUCGCAGUAGCACACUGAGCUCUAUGUUAUUUUGUCCUGUUUUCUUCAAGGUCCUUUGCAGGUUCCUUGUGCAAAGCUUGCUGAUUGUCAAUGUGAUUAGAGGGCCCCGGGCCAGUGGUCGGAUGAUGCAUGACAAACAGCAAGGUGAAGAUCCAUAAAGCCCUACGUUGUUCUUUUGCUCACUGGUGAGUUUACUACUUUCUCGUCGCAUGCCAAGUAGCCGAGUAGGCACUUUUUCGUAGAUUGGUUGUUCAGUUUCAUAUGCUGAACUGCAUUGUCGAGUGAAGUGUCAUUGCAACAGCAGAGUUGAAACAUCCUUAAAAGUAUGUCUCAGAUUUAAGAAUGUGGUUGCAAUGGCCAGGUAGCAGGCUUUACAUCAUCCUAACAAUUAUAGCAGAUGGGUUGUAGUUUUAAGAUGUGUAGGAAAGGGCACUAGCCUAGGAUUGGUUACUACAGUAGGAAAAUGCACUAGCCUAGGAUUGGUUGCUGCAGUGCUUACCUGGGCUUCUGAGUAGCGAGUACCUCAGCUGAUUCAAGAACAACUUCUUCAUGUGUAAUGCAUACCGUAUUCUUGCUAUAAUCUGAUCUGAGCUCAAUUUUUGCAAAAUUCCAUGUAAAUGCGAUAAAAGAUCUUGCUUACAGACUAAUUGAUCAAUGUAAGUCGUGUUGUGUAAUAGUGAUUGCUACAGAUAGUAAAGAACAGAGUAAGCAAUAAAUCAAUUUGCAAGGUUUUUGUAGGAAGUACCUUCUAGGGAGUAAAAAAGUGUAAAUAUCAUUUGAUUUAUGUAGAAGUUGAGAAGUAAAUAUGGCGAUCUGGUAAAGUCGAUUUGGGAAAGCGGGUGUACAGUGUCUAUAAAUUGAGAUUCUAUUUUGAUUUAGUGCAUGCUUAGGGAAGUACUGAACGCACCUCUCUGGCAAGUGCACGCACAAGGGUGCCCUUUUUUACUCAAUCAAUUUCAAAACAAGUGCUAUACUUCUAUUGGGAGACUGCCAUACUAUUUUGUUGCAUUGUGUAAAGAUAUGUGGUGUGAGGGGAAGGAGAAAUGUGGCAGCUCAUAUUUUAAAGUGAUGGCUGAGCUCACAAUGCAGCCAUUAUUUGGGCAAGUAUUCUUAAAACAGGAAUUGCACGCAGUUUAACUGAUAUAUGGUUGGUGAAUCACUGUCAGUAAAAUAGAUCUAGCAAACGGUGAAAUCAUGGUAAUGUAGAUAGCUGAUAUUAGUAAAGUUGAAGUUGAUUACCCCUGGUAUGAAGAUCUCCAUGUCCUUGUGGGCGUGGUGGGUCAGUAGUGAGGGCCUGGGGGCAGCUCUCUUCCACCAUGUACGCUGAACGCAUUCCAUCUGAAACAAAAUUGAGUGUGUGCUUAGAGCAGGUAAUACAAUGGUGGCUGCCCAGCUGUUUGGUUGCCGGGUCCAUGUAUUGCUGGAUUGAUGCACUUCCUUGAGCUCUGUGCGGUGGGUGCACAGAUCCAAUAUCCUCCUGUCAAAGGUGGUGAAUCUGCCCUUCUCCACAGUGCACGGCGCCCUCCACAACAAAUGGAGCACGGAAGUGGCAUCUCUACAAAAACCAGAGCCUAAACCAACGACAUUGUUGCUCGAGAAAAAUCAUACCGAACCCAGCCCAAGACAACAAACAAGAAAUCUAAUACCAGAGGAAACAAUACAAACCAGAUCACACGCAGCGCAGAGCAGUAGAUCGAGCAGACGAAAGGGCGAGAUGGAUGACUAGAACAACAGUGGUGCAGAUUGCAUGGAUGACGAAGCAACGCCCAGGCAGCAGCCGCGGAAGAGCACCGGCAGCCGGGACAUCACGACGACGGAGAUCCUACAAGCAUAGCAAGGAACAGAGGCGUACCCAGCACCACACAAAUCGCCAAUCUCCUCUGUCCAGAGCUGCAUUGAGUGGCUGACCCGGUUAGAGGACACGCACACAGCCAAACCCACAUACACGAGACACACGUGGCUUGGACCAGCGGAAGACUGGCACAUGCGUCCACCCGUUCCACCUGUGAACGUUGUGGCCCACCAGGAAAAAAGCAUGUCUGAGCGCUCACGGGUCCUAGCCAUCUUUUCCCACGGACUUUUCCUUUUCUUUUUUAAGGGUCUACAUUCUCUUUUCUUUUUUAGCCAAGGGUCUAUAUUAUCGGGAAGGUUUUAUUCGCAGAAACAAGUGUGAUGACCGGUCAAAUCGCUUCCUUUUUUCUGGAUUGGUCAUUUCAGUACGAUUGUUUAUACACUGCCGACAUCAUUUUGCUUCUUCUUGCUUGCUAUUUCAUUUAUUUCCUCCAGCAAGUGGAUGGCUAUUUCCAUUGCUUCAGGUUUUGUUUUGGCUCUAAUUGUGUGUAUGGCAUCUUGGCCUUCUUAGGUGAAGCAGUUAUGAAUAUUCUCGCUGAUCUAUGGAUCUAUCAUUGCAUGAGUCGAUGAUAUAUGGUGAGCUGCCUCACACCAUCAUUUGGUCUUUGUAGCAUUUGAGUUGGCAAAUUUGUUGGAUUCAUGCGAUUAGGCAUGGUAAGUGCUCAGAGACCCAUAGCUCUAUAAUUGUUUGCUUCCAAAAGUUCUGAAUAUUUUCUGCGCUUGGUCAUCUCAUUGGUGAGAGUAGCCAUGUAAAUCAAUCUGCUAUGGGAAAUGGGAGUUUGCAAACUACCGGAUUCUAAUUGCUGAGGGACGAGGUUCAUAACUGAGGGUCAUGUGCAGAGCUGGAGGAAGAAGUUGCGAGGCUUGGAACUCUCCUUGUGAAGGGCUCAGGGACAGCAGUGAGGACAAUGCCUCUUUUGUUGUAAUUGUGAUACUCCUGAUGUGCAAGUAAUCACUCCUGUGAUACUCCUUAUGCUAAAAUGUUGGUUGUUAGUACAGAGGUAUUGACAUUAUUUGGUUCUCUGGUAUUGAUUUCAUGAUUUGUGGUUAAUAAAUGAUGUAAUACAAUCCACAUUGCAUUAUAUUUCCAGUUACAUCUCGUGCUUACUCACUAAUAAC
rnacentral:lncRNA from 1 species